UACGUAGGGUGCAAGCGUUAAUCGGAAUUACUGGGCGUAAAGCGUGCGCAGGCGGUUUUGUAAGUCUGUCGUGAAAUCCCCGGGCUCAACCUGGGAAUUGCGAUGGAGACUGCAAGGCUAGAAUCUGGCAGAGGGGGGUAGAAUUCCACGUGUAGCAGUGAAAUGCGUAGAGAUGUGGAGGAACACCGAUGGCGAAGGCAGCCCCCUGGGUCAU
rnacentral:rRNA from 1 species